AUUGAACGCUGGCGGCAUGCUUUACACAUGCCAGUCGAACGGCAGCACGGGCUUCGGCCUGGUGGCGAGUGGCGAACGGGUGAGUAAUAGAUCGGAACGUACCCAGCAGUGGGGGAUAACGUAGCGAAAGUUACGCUAAUACCGCAUACGAUCUAUGGAUGAAAGCAUGGGACCGCAAGGCCUUGUGCUCCUGGGGGGGCCGAUAUCUGAUUAGCUAGUUGGUGAGGUAAAGGCUCACCAAGGCGACGAUCAGUAGCUGGUCUGAGAGGACGACCAGCCACACUGGAACUGAGACACGGUCCAGACUCCUACGGGAGGCAGCAGUGGGGAAUUUUGGACAAUGGGCGCAAGCCUGAUCCAGCAAUGCCGCGUGAGUGAAGAAGGCCUUCGGGUUGUAAAGCUCUUUUGUCAGGGAAGAAACGGUAGAGGCUAAUAUCCUUUGCUACUGACGGUACCUGAAGAAUAAGCACCGGCUAACUACGUG
rnacentral:rRNA from 1 species